rnacentral:rRNA from 1 species
UGGCCUACGGGACGCAGCAGUCGGGAAUAUUGCGCAAUGGAGGAAACUCUGACGCAGUGACGCCGCGUGCAGGAAGAAGGUUUUCGGAUUGUAAACUGCUUUAGACAGGGAAGAAAAAAGACAGUACCUGUAGAAUAAGCUCCGGCUAACUACGUGCCAGCAGCCGCGGUAAUACGUAGGGGGCAAGCGUUAUCCGGAUUUACUGGGUGUAAAGGGAGCGUAGACGGCAGUGCAAGUCCGGAGUGAAAGCCCGGGGCUCAACCCUGGGACUGCUCUGGAAACUGUAAAGCUGGAGUGCGGGAGGG